GAUGAACGCUAGCGGCAGGCCUAACACAUGCAAGUCGAGGGGUAACAUUGGUGCUUGCAUCAGAUGACGACCGGCGCACGGGUGCGUAACGCGUAUAGAACCUACCUUUAACUGGAGGAUAGCCCAGAGAAAUUUGGAUUAAUACUUCAUAGUAUGAUUGAGUAGCAUUACUUAAUCAUUAAAGAUUUAUCGGUUAGAGAUGGCUAUGCGUUCUAUUAGUUAGUUGGUAAGGUAACGGCUUACCAAGGCUACGAUAGAUAGGGGUCCUGAGAGGGAGAUCCCCCACA
rnacentral:rRNA from 1 species